GUUACCUCUCCUGAGAAUAUUUGCAUUCCUCCACUUAUCACACCAAAAUGAAGAAAAAUAGAAGUAAAAAUAACAAGAUUGAUACAAAGAGAAACAGGCUUCUAAGGACACACAAUUUCAUAUUUGAGAACCCAUGUUGAAGUUUUCCGGGUGUCUUUCCAGAGAAAAUGAAGAGAUUGCAGAGUGAAAAUUGAAGAUUCUUGUGUGGAGAUAACCCCCUGCUGUUCAAAGAUUAAAUGCUAAUUUCUCCAGGAUGGGAUUGUAAAUAUCCUCUCUAUCUAUACAAAAUGGGCCAUAGGGUUAAUGUGCUGUAUUAUUAUAUAUUAAAAAAGUAAUCCAACUGCAAA